UAGAUGGUAGCAUAUGCCUCUUCCGUAGGCAAGGGAUGCAAUAGUGUGCGACAAAGAUAGAUAUAUAUAUAUACUAAUGUUAGAUACAGACAGCAAUAGUGAUUAGUUUCACUUUUUCACCGCUACGUGGUGAUAGGGUUUCAACGUUCAGUCUAUAAAGCGAGCAAAUUUUUAUUAUUAAAAAAAAGAAACUGAUUAAGAGAAUUACCUUGUGGAAUGUGACUUUUGUGAUCCCCUCAUUUUUUUUAUACGCCAUCUGAUCAGCAAGAUGCACGAAUACAAAUUUACAAAUUUCUUCCAAAUAUUGAAUCACUUUAAAUAGAUUAUUUUAAGAAGCUGUGCCUUCACAUAUAUAUUUUUAUACAUGUAAUGAUGUUUGUGGGAAUUAUAAACGUAUAUAAAAACAGAAUACAUGUAUAUAGAUGGAGUUCACAUCUGAUUUUGAACGAAUUAAAGUACUAAGAGUAUAUAAUUUGUAUGGAUCAAUGAAUCAAACAUUUUUUAAAGAAUCAUUCGUUUGUAAUUUAAGAUAUAGUCCCAUUUAAUUAACUGUUUUCACUACAUUAUCAUGUUUUUCAACAAUCGCAAUAUACACGGAAAUUUAUUAUAUUUGAUUCGAUAUUUUUCUUUAUUUGUUCGAUAUUUUACUUUGUGUAUACGUUGCGCUCGCGACGUAUAUGUAAUAUGAUAUAACGCAAAUAUUUAGGCUGUGCUACUUUACAAUACAACUAGAUAAUAAAAGGUAAACAAUGCACGAAAAUCAUUAUCAACAAAUGUUGACUGAUAAAGUAAAAUUUAUAGCAAUCAUAUCAUUUCGCAAGAAGAAAAAAAAAAAGAAAAAAUACAGUGUUUUCUUAAUAUUUAAACGUAUUUAAUACUUAAGUUAUUUUUAAUACGAUUGAAAAGUUGGUCCGAUAAUAUAUCAACGAUAAUCUGGUAAUUUAUCAAAACUAAGCAUCCCACGUUCUACAAGACACGUUCUUAGAAGUACCUGGUUUUUAUUUCACUUCACAAGUUCUGCAAUAUUUAUUGCUCAAGGAAAGGAGGAUCUACGCGAAAGUUUUAAAGUAACCACGAUGGUCAUUAAGAAGCAGGAUUAUCAUCUAUUUGUCUCUGAAACAUUUUUUAAUCAUUCCUUUACAUUUAAAUUCUUUCAUCUAACUUUAGAAAUAUUGAUAACCGAAGUAUUUAUAUUUUAUAAACAUAUUAUUUUAAAAUCUUAUCAAAUUUAUCAUUCAGUCUUAUGAAAUGAGUAGUACGUGGUUCUCCGAUGCAAUCCUAAACGAUGAGAAGUAUUACGUAAAUACGUUUUCCGAUCCUUUUAAUAUAUGUAUAUAUAUGCAUGUAUUUUAUCCAAUUGGCGAAUUUCGAGUUGGCAACUGAUCGUGUAAUGCAUAAUCAGAUGAAGCAUCGUUUACUAUAAAUAUUUCCAAUAUUGAUAACGGUUCUAUUCGGAAACAUUUU